GAAUGUCUUCCAUAUCAGGAAAAAAGUGAUUUGGGUUAUAUUAUGGUUGAUGUAAACUAAACAAAAUGAAGACAUUUAAAUUUAAUAGAUUCUCCAAGGUAAGCCCUACACCAUGCCUCUAUUGACAUAAUUUUGUUUAGGAUGACAGUUUCAAGUUUAAAUAAAAAUAUAGCUAUUCUAUAGAUGCUCGAGAUAUUUAACACUUGAAAAUGUUUUUAAAUCAUGGAUAUUUUGAAACUACAUUACAUAUGAUCUGCUAUAUGAGACAGGUCCUUUAACCAGAGCAGAGGAGGG
rnacentral:lncRNA from 1 species